rnacentral:lncRNA from 1 species
AAAAAAAUUACCAUUUUUCUACUUUACAAAUUAUAAAAAAUAGAAUAGCUUAUAAAAUCUAUUGCUAGAAUAUCAAGUUCAUUUUCAUUUAUGUCUUUACUUUUAAAAGAAAAAGGUUUUCAUUAUAUAUAAGAAAUAAGAAUAACCGAAACGUAAAAGAAAGGAUAGAUUCUUAUGUAGCGAAUGAAUCAAUGACUAUUCACGAUUCGAUAAUUACAUA